CCUACGGGGGGCAGCAGUGGGGGAUAUUGGACAAUGGGGGAAACCCUGAUCCAGCGAUGCCGCGUGAGGGAAGAAGGUUUUCGGAUUGUAAACCUCUGUGGAGGGGGACGAUAAUGACGGUACCCCUUUAGGAAGCCACGGCUAACUACGUGCCAGCAGCCGCGGUAAUACGUAGGGGGCAAGCGUUAUCCGGAUUUACUGGGUGUAAAGGGAGCGCAGGCGGCCUGCCAAGUCUGGUGUGAAAACCCGGGGCCCAACCCCGGGCCUGCAUUGGAAACUGGCGGGCUGGAGUGUCGGAGGGGCAG
rnacentral:rRNA from 1 species